CCUACGGGAGGCAGCAGUGGGGAAUAUUGCACAAUGGGCGCAAGCCUGAUGCAGCCAUGCCGCGUGUGUGAAGAAGGCCUUCGGGUUGUAAAGCACUUUCAGCGGGGAGGAAGGCGUUAAGGUUAAUAACCUUGUCGAUUGACGUUACCCGCAGAAGAAGCACCGGCUAACUCCGUGCCAGCAGCCGCGGUAAUACGGAGGGUGCAAGCGUUAAUCGGAAUUACUGGGCGUAAAGCGCACGCAGGCGGUCUGUCAAGACGGAUGUGAAAUCCCCGGGCUCAACCUGGGAACUGCAUUCGAAACUGGCAGGCUAGAGUCUUGUAGAGGGGGGUAGAAUUCCAGGUGUAGCGGUGAAAUGCGUAGAGAUCUGGAGGAAUACCGGUGGCGAAGGCGGCCCCCUGGACAAAGACUGACGCUCAGGUGCGAAAGCGUGGGGAGCAAACAGGAUUAGAUACCCUUGUAGUC
rnacentral:rRNA from 1 species